GUUCAGCUGAUGAGUCUCAAAUAAGACAAAACGCGCGUCCAGGAU
rnacentral:hammerhead_ribozyme from 1 species